rnacentral:rRNA from 1 species
UAGAUCGGGUUGUUUGGGAAUGCAGCCCCAAUCGGGCGGUAAAUUCCGUCCAAGGCUAAAUACAGGCGAGAGACCGAUAGCAAACAAGUACCGCGAGGGAAAGAUGAAAAGGACUUUGAAAAGAGAGUCAAAGAGUGCUUGAAAUUGUCGGGAGGGAAGCGGAUGGGGGCCGGCGGUGCGUCCCGGUCGGAUGUGGAACGGUGUUGAGCCGGUCCGCCGAUCGACUCGGGACGUGGACCGACGCGGAUCGUGAUGGCGGCCCAAGCCCGAGCCUUUGUUACGCUCGUGGAGACGUCGUCGUCGCGAUCGUGGCUUGCAGCGCGCGCCUCAUGGCGUGCUUCGGCAUCUGCGCGCUCCUGGCGUCGGCCUGUGGGCUCCCCAUUCGGCCCGUCUUGAAACACGGACCAAGGAGUCUGACAUGUGUGCGAGUCAACGGGCGAGUAAACCCGUAAGGCGCAAGGAAGCUGACUGGCGGGAUCCCCUUGUGGGUUGCACCGCCGACCGACCUUGAUCUUCUGAGAAGGGUUCGAGUGAGAACAUGCCUGUCCGGACCGAAAGAUGGUGAACUAUGCCUGAGCG